ensembl:snoRNA
UGGGAAGUGAUGAAGCCUUUGACUGCUGACAAUACACUGAUCUCUGUCGUAUUCGUACUGGCUGAUCCCG